CUGUUAAGCUCGUAGUUGGAUCAAGAGUCGGACAGUGCACGGUGGCCCUGUUUGUCAUAGUGGUUCCGAUCACUGUGGCGGCAGCGGAUCAACCCCGUGCGCCAAACUGUCCGCUCUAAUCGACCGAAGCGGUUCCCUGUGAGUAGGCUCCUUUAUUGGGGCUGAAAGCGCUUACGCAUUAACCAUAUGCAUACGGGACGUCGGUCAAUGUUACUGUGAACAAACCAGCGUGUCCAAAACAGGCUUUCGCCUGAAUGUUCGAGCAUGGAAUAACAAGGGAUCGAUUCUCUCGGUUCUUUUUGUUGGUUUUUAACCCGAGAAGGAGUAAUUCAGGCCACGGUGUCUGAGUUGGGUUUCCCUUCACCUCGGUGGAGGCCCCAAUUAGGCCGUGUCCUUACGGGAUAAAUAGGGACUGACGGGGUCGUACGUACUUCCACGUCAGAGGUGAAAUUCUUAGAUCGUGGGAAGACGAACUUCUGCGAAAGCAUUCGACAAGAAUGUCUUCAUUAAUCAAGAACGAGAGUGUGGGGAUCGAAGAUGAUCAGAUACCGUCGUAGUCCACUACUGUAAACAAUGCCGUCUCAGGAUUGAGAAGUGAACAGAAUGACUUUCACAGCACUAACCCCUGAAACGAGAAAUCAAAGAUUAUGGGUUCAGGGGGGAGUACAUUCGCAAGGCUGAAACUUAAAGGAAUUGACGGAAUGACACCACAAGGCGUGGAGUAUGCGGCUUAAUUUGACUCAACACGGGGA
rnacentral:rRNA from 1 species